rnacentral:lncRNA from 1 species
AUGAACCCAUAACUAGGGCUGGACCUCAUUCGAUUUUUGUGCCGAACGCCAUUCCCUGUUCUCUGACUCCGGACGAACUCCUACUGAUAAGGGUUCAGUAUGGAGUUCCUCCGGAGUACGAUCUGGAGCUUCCUGAUCCAGCCGACCGGGCUAGCACCCCCCCACCUGGCCGUUUCUGUUUGUACCAGGAGGCCUUCCGCGCUGGACUCCGGCUCCCGCUUCUGUCCUUCGUCAUCGCUCUUUUCCAUUUUCUAGACAUUUCUUUAGCUUCAGUCGCGUCGAACUUCUUUAGAU